rnacentral:rRNA from 1 species
AGUGAACGCUGGCGGUAGGCCUAACACAUGCAAGUCGAACGGCAGCACAGUAAGAGCUUGCUCUUACGGGUGGCGAGUGGCGGACGGGUGAGGAAUACAUCGGAAUCUACUUUUUCGUGGGGGAUAACGUAGGGAAACUUACGCUAAUACCGCAUACGACCUACGGGUGAAAGCAGGGGAUCUUCGGACCUUGCGCGAUUGAAUGAGCCGAUGUCGGAUUAGCUAGUUGGCGGGGUAAAGGCCCACCAAGGCGACGAUCCGUAGCUGGUCUGAGAGGAUGAUCAGCCACACUGGCACUGAGACACGGUCCAGACUCCUACGCGAGGACGCAGUGGGGAAUACUGGACAAUGGGGGCAAGCCUGAUCCAGCCAUACCGCGUGGGUGAAGAAGGCGUUAGGGUUGUAAAGCCCAUUUGUUGUGAAAGAAAAGCAGCAGGUUAAUACCCCGCUGUUCUGACGGUACCCAAAGAAUAAGCACCGGCUAACUUCGUG